rnacentral:lncRNA from 1 species
CUCACCCAUGUGCAUGAAUACCAGAUUGUCAUACUUGUGAGCUAUAAAAGGAUCUCUCAAAAUUUCCUAAGUUAGCAUUUUUCAAGCUUUUGAUCAUGACCUUCAGUAACAGGCAUAUUUUUUAUUACUGCCCAGUAAACAUAUAUACUAAAGGUUUAAUGAAGCUGUGCCCUUACUAUAUGCAGUCACUUUUUUUUUCUCAUUCCUAUUUGCAAAAUCCUGGUUUCAACCCAUUAAAUUAAUGUUAUGACCCCUCAUUGGAUUGUGACCUGUAGUUUGAAAACUGUGUCAUGGACCAGGUUGGAAUAGGAAAACGGGUCUGCCAUCUCCCCUGUCAUGUGUUCUUUGUCAGUUAACUUCCUUUCUUUAACAGUUUUACAUUUGCCCUGACAGGAAUAUCAACUGGCUUUUACUUUGAGAACUGUUUUGUUUUCCACACAGAUGUGGCAGCUCUGGGUGUAUGUGUGAUCUUGCGGUGUAGAAGGAAGGUAUCUGGUUAGCGUCGGUAGUUUUGUAUAUUUCCAGCCCCUAGAUUCCCUUCAUGUACACUCUGUUACUUGGGUAAACCCCAGUCUUCUCUGUAAAUAGUUUCCUUUUGAUUGGUGACAUUGGGUAUUUGUUAAAAGCC